ensembl:ncRNA F56H11.8 ncRNA
CGUCUGCAAAAAGUGCGAGAGAUAGGAUAGUAAACAGGCGCGUCUGUCGACGGGGUGAAAGGGCGAUAUGGAGUAGUAAAAAGAGAUGAAAUGGAGGAAAAGAAAAAGGGAAAAAAGAACGAUGGCUCCGCCCCAUCACCCCA